GCGCAAAUAGUUUAAGGGUAGAAUUCGAGGUGAAUACGACUGGAACCGAUGCCGUGUAUCCUCUAACAUACCCCCAGCUUCCCAUGCUCGAGGACCGAGUUCGAGUCUCGGUUUGCGCA